AUUGAACGCUGGCGGCAGGCCUAACACAUGCAAGUCGAGCGGAUGAAGGGAGCUUGCUCCUGGAUUCAGCGGCGGACGGGUGAGUAAUGCCUAGGAAUCUGCCUGGUAGUGGGGGAUAACGUCCGGAAACGGGCGCUAAUACCGCAUACGUCCUGAGGGAGCAAGUGGGGGAUCUUCGGACCUCACGCUAUCAGAUGAGCCUAGGUCGGAUUAGCUAGUUGGUGGGGUAAAGGCCUACCAAGGCGACGAUCCGUAACUGGUAUGAGAGGAUGAUCAGUCACACUGGAACUGAGACACGGUCCAGACUCCUACGGGAGGCAGCAGUGGGGAAUAUUGGACAAUGGGCGAAAGCCUGAUCCAGCCAUGCCGCGUGUGUGAAGAAGGUCUUCGGAUUGUAAAGCACUUUAAGUUGGGAGGAAGGGCAGUAAGUUAAUACCUUGCUGUUUUGACGUUACCAACAGAAUAAGCACCGGCUAACUUCGUG
rnacentral:rRNA from 1 species